GACGAACGCUGGCGGCGUGCUUAACACAUGCAAGUCGAACGGAAAGGCCCUGCUUUUGUGGGGUGCUCGAGUGGCGAACGGGUGAGUAACACGUGAGUAACCUGCCCUUGACAUUGGGAUAACUCCAGGAAACUGGGGCUAUUACCGGAUAGGAGCUCCUGCUGCAUGGUGGGGGUUGGAAAGUUUCGGCGGUUGGGGAUGGACUCGCGGCUUAUCAGCUUGUUGGUGGGGUAGUGGCUUACCAAGGCUUUGACGGGUAGCCGGCCUGAGAGGGUGACCGGCCACAUUGGGCCUGCGAUACGGCGCAGACUCCUACGGGAGGCAGCAGUGGGGAAUAUUGCGCAAUGGGCGGAAGCCUGAUGCAGCAACGCCGCGUGCGGGAUGACGGCCUUCGGGUUGUAAACCGCUUUCGCCUGUGACGAAGCGUGAGUGACGGUAAUGGGUAAAGAAGCACCGGCUAACUACGUG
rnacentral:rRNA from 1 species